rnacentral:rRNA from 1 species
UACGGAGGGUGCAAGCGUUGUCCGGAAUCACUGGGCGUAAAGGGCGCGUAGGCGGCUCAUGAAGGCUGUGGUGAAAGUCCGGGGCUCAACCUCGGAUCGGCCGUGGCGACUCGUGGGCUGGAGCACUGUAGAGGCGGGUGGAAUUCCGGGUGUAGCGGUGGAAUGCGUAGAGAUCCGGAAGAACACCAGUGGCGAAGGCGGCCGGCUGGGGGCGCCCUGACGCUGAGGCGCGAGAGCGUGGGGAGCGAACCGG